UGUAUUUCAAUACUUUGUGGUUGUUCGACAUACAGCAUGGACAGUAAAGAAUGUCUAAACAGAUCCUUAAUUUUUGCAAUUGGUAAAAAGGCCUGUAGAUUAAUUUUAGAGGAUUCACGAGAACGUUUCGAAUCAGAUAUCUCAAAAGAUAUAUGCACAUCGACCAAGGA